rnacentral:rRNA from 1 species
GACAGAGGAUGCAAGCGUUAUCCGGAAUGAUUGGGCGUAAAGCGUCUGUAGGUGGCUUUUUAAGUCUGCCGUCAAAUCCCAGGGCUUAACCCUGGACAGGCGGUGGAAACUACCAAGCUGGAGUACGGUAGGGGCAGGGGGAAUUUCCGGUGGAGCGGUGAAAUGCGUAGAUAUCGGAAGGAACAUCAGUGGCGAAAGCGGCUUCCUGGUCCAGAACCGACGUUCAGGCACGAAAGCGUGGGGAGCAAACAGG